AAUGAACGCUGGCGGCAUGCCUAAUACAUGCAAGUCGAGCGAACGGACGAGAAGCUUGCUUUUCUGGUGUUAGCGACGGACGGGUGAGUAACACGUGGAUAACCUACCUAUAAGACUGGGAUAACUUCGGGAAACCGGAGCUAAUACCGGAUAAUAUUUUGAACCGCAUGGUUCAAAAGUGAAAGACGGUCUUGCUGUCACUUAUAGAUGGAUGCGCGUUGGAUUAGCUAGUUGGUAAGGUAAAGGCCUACCAAGGCAACGAUGCAUAGCUGACCUGAGAGGGUGAUCAGCCACACUGGGACUGAGACACGGCCCAGACUCCUACGGGAGGCAGCAGUGGGGAAUUUUGCACAAUGGGCGCAACCCCGAUCCAGCCAUGCCGCGUGAGUGAAGAAGGCCUUCGGAUUGUAAAACUCUUUCAGCAGGAAAGAAAAGAUGUGCACUAACAUAGCCUGAUAAUGACGGUACCUAAACAAAAAGCACCGGCUAACUACGUG
rnacentral:rRNA from 1 species